rnacentral:misc_RNA from 1 species
UCCUAAGUUAGCACCCGGCUCUUUCAGGUUUGACAGCAGUUGUAGCCACCGCAGGUCUUUCCUCGGGGAGGGCGAAGUGAGCGUCUGUUGUUGGCGGCAUCCUAACCAAAAGAACUAGCCCUUUCCUUGCUUCCUGCUUUUAGAGAGGACGAAGAAAGUCGCUCUUGUAGCUAAGAGUUGAUUCGUUGUUGCGGUGUAGCUUUUGAGUGAAAAGUAGCUCUUAGAGACGAGAGGGAUAAUAAAGUAGCUUAAGCCGCUUCUUCCGCUCUUCCUUCUUAAGCCG